AAUAGAUACCCCGGUAGUCCACGCCGUAAACGAUGAGUGCUAAGUGUUAGAGGGUUUCCGCCCUUUAGUGCUGAAGUUAACGCAUUAAGCACUCCGCCUGGGGAGUACGGCCGCAAGGCUGAAACUCAAAGGAAUUGACGGGGGCCCGCACAAGCGGUGGAGCAUGUGGUUUAAUUCGAAGCAACGCGAAGAACCUUACCAGGUCUUGACAUCCUCUGACAACCCUAGAGAUAGGGCUUCUCCUUCGGGAGCAGAGUGACAGGUGGUGCAUGGUUGUCGUCAGCUCGUGUCGUGAGAUGUUGGGUUAAGUCCCGCAACGAGCGCAACCCUUGAUCUUAGUUGCCAGCAUUCAGUUGGGCACUCUAAGGUGACUGCCGGUGACAAACCGGAGGAAGGUGGGGAUGACGUCAAAUCAUCAUGCCCCUUAUGACCUGGGCUACACACGUGCUACAAUGGAUGGUACAAAGAGCUGCGAACCCGCGAGGGUAAGCGAAUCUCAUAAAGCCAUUCUCAGUUCGGA
rnacentral:rRNA from 1 species